rnacentral:lncRNA from 1 species
UUCUGCUCUGCCAAACUUUGUGACUGACUCCUCAUCUCCCUAAGACGUGACUCCCCUCUGAAGUCUUUCUCAACUCCUCCAAAAGACAUUCCCUCUUUUGCAGUCUCACUGUUCUCUGUUGGCAUAUGACAUAUAACCUACCAAAAUAUAAAUAAGCCUAAGGCAGUGUUCUAGGGAGAUGUAAAGAAGACCAAUUUGGACCAUGAUCUUCAAUCCAUCUAUUCUAGCCUCGCCAACCUCUCAGUGUCUUAUAUGCAGUCAGCUAUUUUGCACUCAGGCCCUUGACCCUGCUAUCCACCAUCAGGAAUGCUCUUCUAGCUCUGCAAAUAGCUGACCUUUUCCCAUUCUUGAGAUCUCAGCUCACCUGGCAUCUCUGUACAAAGGUCUUCUGUUACUACGCUAUCUGAAGUUGCCCACCUCAGUUAGCUUCCAUCUCAACCACCACUACAUUUCCUUCAUUGCACUCAUCACAAUCUAUAUGUCUCUUAUUUAUUGAUUUGUUGAUUCAAAUCAACAAGUUGUAUUGAUUCAUUGUAUUUCUCCUCCCCUGGAACAAAGAGGCCUGAAGACAGAAACAAUGUCUGUUUUGUUUACCUGUAUAUCCCUACUGCCUAGCAGCCAUGCCUGGUAAUUCAGAGAUGCACAAAUAAGAAUUUACUUCUUAAAGAAUAAACGAUAAAUACAAAGUUAUUGAAUAAACAAGCCAAAGGGAGAAGACACACUGGUGCCCAUAUGAGGCAUACCUAGCCCAUAUGAGGCAUACAAUCUUGAAGAUUUGGGGAAGGAUACUUAGAAGAGACUUAGUUGUAUAGGUAAAUCCUAUGUGUUGUGUGUGUGUGAGGAAAUAGAGGGGAUGUGGUGAAUACGACUGAAAACACGGGCAGUUCCAGGGUGCAUCCUGCACUAACAAAAUACAA